rnacentral:rRNA from 1 species
GACGAACGCUGGCGGCGUGCUUAACACAUGCAAGUCGAACGAAGUGGCGAACGGGUGAGUAACGCGUAAUCAACCUGCCCUUCAGAGGGGGACAACAGUUGGAAACGACUGCUCAUACCACAUACUGAAGGAGGGGUUUGCGUCUGAUUAGCUAGUUGGAGGGUUAACGGCCCACCAAGGCGAUGAUCAGUCGCCGGUCUGGUAGGAUGAACGGCCACAUUUGGACGGAGACACGGCCCAGACGCCUACGGUAGGCAGCAGUGGGGAAUCUUCCGAAAGGGACGAAAGUCUGACGGAGCAACGCCGCGUGAGUGAUGACGGCCUUCGGGUUGUAAAGCUCUGUUAAUCGGGACGCGGUACCGGAAUAGAAAGCCACGGCUAACUACGUGCCAGCAGCCGCGGUAAUAC